ensembl:snRNA U6 U6 spliceosomal RNA
GUGCUUGCUUUGGCAGCACAUACACUAAAAUUGAAAUGAUACAGAGAAGACUAGCAUGGCCCUUUAACAAGGAUGACACGCAAAAUGUACAAAUUUCAU